GCCGACGUAGCUUAGUGGUAAAGCAUUCGCAUGGUAAGCGAAAGACCGGGAGUUCAAUUCUCCCCGUCGGCU
rnacentral:tRNA from 1 species